UGCCUAAUACAUGCAAGUCUAGCGAACAGACGAGGAGCUUGCUCCUCUGACGUUAGCGGCGGACGGGUGAGUAACACGUGGAUAACCUACCUAUAAGACUGGGAUAACUUCGGGAAACCGGAGCUAAUACCGGAUAAUAUAUUGAACCGCAUGGUUCAAUAGUGAAAGACGGUUUUGCUGUCACUUAUAGAUGGAUCCGCGCCGCAUUAGCUAGUUGGUAAGGUAACGGCUUACCAAGGCAACGAUGCGUAGCCGACCUGAGAGGGUGAUCGGCCACACUGGAACUGAGACACGGUCCAGACUCCUACGGGAGGCAGCAGUAGGGAAUCUUCCGCAAUGGGCGAAAGCCUGACGGAGCAACGCCGCGUGAGUGAUGAAGGUCUUCGGAUCGUAAAACUCUGUUAUUAGGGAAGAACAAAUGUGUAAGUAACUAUGCACGUCUUGACGGUACCUAAUCAGAAAGCCACGGCUAACUACGUGCCAGCAGCCGCGGUAAUACGUAGGUGGCAAGCGUUAUCCGGAAUUAUUGGGCGUAAAGCGCGCGUAGGCGGUUUUUUAAGUCUGAUGUGAAAGCCCACGGCUCAACCGUGGAAGGUCAUUGGAAACUGGAAAACUUGAGUGCAGAAGAAGAAAGUGGAAUUCCAUGUGUAGCGGUGAAAUGCGCAGAGAUAUGGAGGAACACCAGUGGCGAAGGCGACUUUCUGGGCUGUAACUGACGCUGAUGUGCGAAAGCGUGGGGAUCAAACAGGAUUAGAUACCCUGGUAGUCCACGCCGUAAACGAUGAGUGCUAA
rnacentral:rRNA from 1 species